rnacentral:rRNA from 1 species
UACGUAGGGUGCGAGCGUUAAUCGGAAUUACUGGGCGUAAAGCGCGCGCAGGCGGUUUUCAAGUCAGUGGUGAAAGCCCGGAGCUCAACUCCGGAACUGCCAUUGAAACUGUGAAACUUGAGGAUGAGAGAGGUGAGUGGAAUUCCCAGUGUAGAGGUGAAAUUCGUAGAUAUUGGGAAGAACACCGGUGGCGAAGGCGGCUCACUGGCUCAUUUCUGACGCUCAGGCGCGACAGCGUGGGGAUCAAACAGG